AUGGUGGUGAAGAAGAGAGCGGCGGCCAUUGCCGCCCUGUGCAUGCUCCUGCUCCUCAUGCUGUCAAGGCCAUCUCGUCAGCAGCUCUCGGAUCACUCCUGCGACUGCUACCGAAAGUGCUACUUAGAGUGCAAGAACGCCUUCCCGAUGCUCUGCAAGGUCGUGUGUGGCGGCAGCUGCAAUGACAACAAGGACCCUGUCGUCGCCUGCAUGGUCGCCUGCUGCACCAACUCUGUCUGUGGCCUGCCACCAGCGCCAUCCGUUUGCGCUCCGGAUUGUAUCCAUGCAUGCAACAAGACGUGGGGUGGCCAUGGUCCCAGCAAGGAACCUUAA
rnacentral:rRNA from 1 species